CCUACGGGCGGCAGCAGUAGGGAAUAUUGGACAAUGGGGGCAACCCUGAUCCAGCCAUGCCGCGUGUGUGAAGAAGGCCCUCGGGUUGUAAAGCACUUUCAGUGAGGAAGAACGCCUGGUGGUUAAUACCCAUCAGGAAAGACAUCACUCACAGAAGAAGCACCGGCUAACUCCGUGCCAGCAGCCGCGGUAAUACGGAGGGUGCGAGCGUUAAUCGGAAUUACUGGGCGUAAAGCGCGCGUAGGUGGCUUGAUAAGCCGGUUGUGAAAGCCCCGGGCUCAACCUGGGAACGGCAUCCGGAACUGUCAAGCUAGAGUGCAGAAGAGGAAGGUAGAAUUCCCGGUGUAGCGGUGAAAUGCGUAGAGAUCGGGAGGAAUACCAGUGGCGAAGGCGGCCCUCUGGACUGACACUGACACUGAGGUGCGAAAGCGUGGGUAGCAAACAGGAUUAGAUACCCUGGUAGUC
rnacentral:rRNA from 1 species